rnacentral:rRNA from 1 species
GUACACGCUGUGACUAGCAUAUCAAUAAGCGGAGGAAAAGAAACCAACAAGGAUUCCCUUAGUAACGGCGAGUGAGGCGGGAAGAGAUCAAAUUUGAAAUCUUCAAGGUUCUACCUUGACGAAUUGUAGUUUAAAGAAGUGUUUUCUGUUAGUGGAGUGGCAAAAGUUCUUUGGAAUAGGACAUCAUAGAGGGUGAGAAUCCCGUAUUUGGUCAUUCCUUCUAGCUUUGUGAUACACUUUCAAAGAGUCGGAUUGUUUGGGAAUGCAGUCCAAAAUGGGUGGUAAAUUUCAUCUAAAGCUAAAUACUGGCGAGAGACCGAUAGCGAACAAGUACCGUGAGGGAAAGAUGAAAAGAACUUUGAAAGGAGAGUUAAACAGUACGUGAAAUUGUCAAAAGGGAAGCGUUUGACACCAGUGUUGUUUUCUCGAAAAUCAAUUAAAAAGAGUUGGAUUUUGUGUUGUAUUGACCUUAACAGCUUGCUUCACUCUUUUCCUGCUUUUUUUAAUGCACUUUUCGUUUAACAAGUCAACAUCAGUUUCUUUUGUUGUAAAAGGGUCAUUGGAAGGUGGCUUUCUCUUCGGAGAAAGUGUUUAUAGCCUUUGAUCUCUGCAAUCGGAGAGACUGGGGUCUGCAGCGUAGAUCCUUCGGGGUUAGAUACACUUGUGCUAAGUUAUAGCUUUUCAUAGACAACUUGUUGACUAUGUUUAGUCUUGUAGCAUACUCGCUUGUGCUAUUUUACCUACGCUUAGGAUGUUGACACACGCGCGUGCUCG